UGGGGCGUGGCCAAGUGGUAAGGCAACGGGUUCUGGUCCCGUCACCGGGGGUUCGAAUCCCUCCGCCCCAGCCA
rnacentral:tRNA from 1 species